AUAUAAAACAUAUAAAGAGGGACUUUAUCUAACAAAACAAACAUUUAUUGUGUAACUGGGAGUCUUGUGACUGCAACCAUAUGAAGAUCAUCAAAGGGCUUUACACACUUCUGAAACAGAGAAGGAUGAGAAGGAUAACCUGGUGAAGAGGUAAACAGGGGUGUCAGGGAUGAGAAGGAGAACCUGGUGAAGGAGUGCACAGGGGUGUCAGGGAUGAGAAGGAGAACCUGGUGAAGGAGUGCACAGGGGUGUCAGGGAUGAGAAGGAGAACCUGGUGAAAGAGUGCACAGGGGUGUCAGGGAUGAGAAGGAGAACCUGGUGAAGGAGAGCACAGGGGUGUCAGGUAAAUUCAUAAGGGGCUCAUUUAUACCUUUUGACCUUUCAAAUAAACUUCCUGCUUCUAUAAAAUGCUGAUUCAAGGCUUUCAGAAUGGAGGUUCUCUCAGUUACUACCUGUGUGUCGACCAACAAUAGUUUGGGAAGCUGUGAAUCUUCUUUACACUCCAAACCUUUCACUACUUGUCAAAUUGUGGAGGGAUUUUUUAAAUGAUCUGAAGUAGAUUUCAG
rnacentral:lncRNA from 1 species